UUGAAGAGUUUGAUUCUGGCUCAGGACGAACGUUGGCGGUGUGUCUAAGGCAUGCAAGUCGAACGAGAUUGUUUUCUUCGGAAAACUUUAUUUCUAAGUGGCAGACGGCUGAGUAACGCGUAAGUAACUUACCCUAGAGUGGGGAAUAACACAGAGAAAUCUGUGCUAAUACCGCAUACGAUUUAUAGAUAAUUUUUAUAAAUGAAAGAUUUAUCGCUCUUGGAUGGGCUUGCGUCCUAUCAGGUUGUUGGCGGGGUAAUAGCCCACCAAGCCUAAGACGGGUAGCUGGUGUGAGAGCACGACCAGCCAGAGGGGGACUGAGACACGGCCCCCACUCCUACGGGAGGCAGCAGCUAAGAAUAUUGCACAAUGGACGAAAGUCUGAUGCAGCGACACCGCGUGAGGGAUGACAGCCUUAGGGUUGUAAACCUCUUUUAUUAGGGAAUAGCAAGGAAGGUACCUAAUGAAUAAGCUACGGCUAACUACGUGCCAGCAGCCGCGGUAAUACGUAGGUAGCGAACGUUGUCCGGAAUCACUGGGCGUAAAGGGUCCGUAGGCGGUUUAACAAGUCUCAUAUGAAAGCUUCAAGCUUAACUUGGAGAUGUUGUGAGAUACUGUUAGACUUGAGGCUGUUAGAGGCAAGUGGAAUUCCAGGUGUAGUGGUGAAAUGCGUAGAUAUCUGGAGGAACACCAGUGGCGAAAGCGACUUGCUGGAACAGUUCUGACGCUAAGGGACGAAAGCGUGGGGAGCAAACCGGAUUAGAUACCCGGGUAGUCCACGCCGUAAACGAUGAUUGCUAGGUUUUCGAGGCAUCGACCCCUCGUGAGCCGAAGUUAACGCGUUAAGCA
rnacentral:rRNA from 1 species